CUUUCUUCUUCUUUCAUUUUCUUUCUUCUUAUUCUUCAUUCUUCUUCUGCCCUUCUCUACUUUUCUUCUCCGACGAUUCCGAGAGUUUCCCGGGUAUGUGAGAUUGAUCAUCGUAGGAGUUACGUUAUGGAUUGAUGGUUGGUAGUGGUGAUUGUUGUUUACUGUUUUGGGAAAAGAAGGAGUUGGUACUGUAAUAAUCUGAAAUUAGGGUUUUUUAGAUUAAGACUCGAAUUGGUAAGAAGUUGUUAAGUAAUUGAGUUUUUAAUGGUUAAAUAACGAGGGGGUUGAUGUUUGAUUGAAGUGGUGAGGUUGUUUUGAAGUGGAAUUGAGGAGUAAGGGUUUUAUUAGAUGAACUAAAGAAGGAUUGGAAGAUGAAAUAUUAAGAGGGUUGAUAUUUAAUUGAAGUUGUGGAGUUCUUUUAAGGGUUGAAUCAAGAUUUAGGGUUCUUGAGUUAACUGGAUCUUAGAAGGUGAAAUUGGGGUUUUAACAGAAGAAUUAGAAGAUGGGUUUGCUCGAUCUGGAGAGUUGAAUUGAUAUCCAGAACUCGAAUUUAGAAAAGAUAAUUUGGGGGAUUACUUUAGGGUUCUCUGAGAAGUAGUAAAGGUGAUGGGAAGUUAAUGGUUGUUGUUAGUUUUCGAGAUGGGUUGUUGAAUCAUAAGUGAAGAAGAAAUUGAGUUUCAAUGGUUUGAAACAGAACUUAGUUGAGGUAAGGUCCUUCUCAGUUCUUUAACAGAGUUAUUUAUAUAUCCAGUUUUGAUUAUUUGUUGGUUAAUGAAAACUCAGGGUAGUAUCUUAAGUUUGCAUUUGAAUUACAAGUUAUGUGUAUGCGUUAGUAUGGAUUGGGAUGGAGUUUUUAUUGAUUGAGUUGCAGAUUAUUGUUGGUGGCUAGAGGCUGGUGGUGUUGUUUGUGUAUAUGAAGCUGUAGGUGUUAUGGAUGGUUAUGAAACUGAGAAUGAUCUGAGAUGUGCAUUUGAAGUUGUAAUGGUAGUGUGGUUGAAGAUACAUGGGAUAUGAGUGGCUGGUGGAAGUUUAGGAACUGUUUUGAGUGAACCAAUGAUUGAGGUAGUGAAGAGCUGAGGAUGGUGGAUAUGGAAUUGAGUUACAGUUGCAACUUGUGAACUGGUUCAAUCAGAGUGUGAAAGGCUUUUUGAAGUGAAAGUGUUAUAUGAAUGAUUAAUGAUUGUAAGUAGUGGUUUGGAGUAUCGUUGUGAAUAGAUACUAGCUCCAGUGGAGGCUUGCUACUGCUAUUGCAGGGGAAGUGAGAUGGAAAAAGAGUAGUUGUGAAAGCCUUCAAUUGCAGAUCAGUUUUCAGAGACAGAUCAGAGUUGCGCAGCGAAAGCCACAAGUGUUGACUCCGUUGAUUAGUUAACUUCUACUAUGUUUAUUAUGUUGUUUAUUGUAUCUGUAAACAAUUGACUAUUGUAUAUGUAUCAUUUGAGAGAAUUUCAUGUAUAUAUAUGCUAAGCGGGUUUAGUUUUCGGAUAAGUUUUGUAGCAUAUUUCUUAAUUGAAUGUUUAAAUAUUUGAAUUA